rnacentral:rRNA from 1 species
UACGUAGGGUGCAAGCGUUAUCCGGAAUUAUUGGGCGUAAAGAGCUCGUAGGCGGUCUGUCGCGUCGGCUGUGAAAACCCGGAGCUCAACUCCGGGCCUGCAGUCGAUACGGGCAGACUGGAGUUCGGCAGGGGAGACUGGAAUUCCUGGUGUAGCGGUGAAAUGCGCAGAUAUCAGGAGGAACACCGGUGGCGAAGGCGGGUCUCUGGGCCGAUACUGACGCUGAGGAGCGAAAGCGUGGGGAGCGAACAGG